rnacentral:rRNA from 1 species
CACGUAGGGUGCGAGCGUUGUCCGGAAUUAUUGGGCGUAAAGAGCUCGUAGGCGGUGUGUCGCGUCGGCCGUGAAAACCUGCAGCUUAACUGUGGGCUUGCGGUCGAUACGGGCAUCACUGGAGUUCGGCAGGGAGACUGGAAUUCCUGGUGUAGCGGUUGAAAUGCGCAGAUAUCGAGGAGGAACACCGGUGGCGAAGGCGGGUCUCUGGGC